rnacentral:rRNA from 1 species
AGAUUGAAAGCUCCGGCGCCUAAGGAUGAGUCUGCGGACUAUCAGGUUGUGGUCAGGGUAAUGACCUGACUAGCCUACGACGGAUACGGGUUGUGAGAGCAAUAACCCGGAGACGAUAUCUGAGACACGAUAUCGGGCCCCACGGGGCGCAGCAGGCGCGAAAACUUCACACUGUGCGAAAGCACGAUGAGGGAAUCCCAAGUGCCGACUCGUAAGAGUUGGCUGUUUCUCUGUCUAAAAAAUAGAGAGAGUAAGAGCUGGGUAAGACGGGUGCCAGCCGCCGCGGUAAUACCUGCAGCUCAAGUGGUGGCCACUAUUAUUGGGCCUAAAACGUCCGUAGCCGGUUUAAUAAAUGCCGGGGUAAAUCGUGUAGCUUAACUAUACGAAUUCCGGGUAGACUGUUAGACUUGAGACCGGGAGAGGCUAGAGGUACUCCUGGGGUAGAGGUGAAAUUCUGUAAUCCUAGGGGGACCACCAGUGGCGAAGGCGUCUAGCUAGAACGGGUCUGACGGUGAGGGACGAAGCCCUGGGGCGCAAACCGGAUUAGAUACCCGGGUAGUCCAGGGUGUAAACGCUGCUUGCUUGAUGUUAGUUGGGCUCCGAGCCCAAUUAGUGUCGGAGAGAAGUUGUUAAGCAAGCUGCCUGGGAAGUACGGCCGCAAGACUGAAACUUAAAGGA